UAGGGAAUCUUCCGCAAUGGGCGAAAGCCUGACGGAGCAACGCCGCGUGAGUGAUGAAGGUCUUCGGAUCGUAAAACUCUGUUAUUAGGGAAGAACAAAUGUGUAAGUAACUAUGCACGUCUUGACGGUACCUAAUCAGAAAGCCACGGCUAACUACGUGCCAGCUGCCGCGGUAAUACGUAGGUGGCAAGCGUUAUCCGGAAUUAUUGGGCGUAAAGCGCGCGUAGGCGGUUUUUUAAGUCUGAUGUGAAAGCCCACGGCUCAACCGUGGAGGGUCAUUGGAAACUGGAAAACUUGAGUGCAGAAGAGGAAAGUGGAAUUCCAUGUGUAGCGGUGAAAUGCGCAGAGAUAUGGAGGAACACCAGUGGCGAAGGCGACUUUCUGGUCUGUAACUGACGCUGAUGUGCGAAAGCGUGGGGAUCAAACAGG
rnacentral:rRNA from 1 species